GCCCUGGUAUUCCAAUCGGCAGAGAACGCGGAUUCAAAAUCCGUACAGUGUGGGUUCGAGUCCCACCCAGGGCA
rnacentral:tRNA from 1 species